GACGUAGGGCGCGAGCGUUGUCCGGAUUUACUGGGCGUAAAGAGCUCGUAGGCGGCUUGUUGCGUCGUCCGUGAAAACCUGUGGCUCAACCACAGGCUUGCGGUCGAUACGGGCGGGCUGGAGUUCGGUAGGGGAGACUGGAAUUCCUGGUGUAGCGGUGAAAUGCGCAGAUAUCAGGAGGAACACCGGUGGCGAAGGCGGGUCUCUGGGCCGAUACUGACGCUGAGGAGCGAAAGCGUGGGGAGCGAACAGG
rnacentral:rRNA from 1 species